CCGUUUAAAAAAGAUAUGGGUAGUUAUAAAUAGAUUUGGGACAGGUACGAAUAAUAAAAUUACUACCCGUAAUGGAUAUGAGUAAAAUAUAGGUACAAGUCUUUGGGUCUCUGCUACCCAUUACCUGCUAUAUUAAACGAGUUCAGCAAUGGGUACCCACAAAUUAUUCAUUAUUAGUAAAAAUUGUAUUUUAAAUAAAUUUGGAUUUGAAUAGUUUAAUAUUCGUGGGUACCUUAUCCAUAUGUGUCACGAUCCAAAUCCAUGAGCUGGACUAACACUAGGACUUAAGUAAACAUAAGACCCCCAAAACUCGUAGUAAGCCUAAAUUAAUAACUAAUCUGAAAUGAGGCCCAUCUUUUACUCAUGAACAGUAAAGCCCAUAUCAUAAGUAAAUUUUUUAUCUAAGUUCACGGCCCAAUCAUAUUAUCAUAAUCAAACGUAGAUCACGAGCCUAUAAGCAUAUAACAACCGCCAUAUGGGCUUCUAGUUCACAAUGCAUAAGACCAAAAUUAACAGAAUAUAUACAUUGAAAAUGUAACUAAUUUAUUGCACUUAAUAAAUAAAUAUCUUAGAAAAACCUAUUAACUGCAGAGCUCAACUAAAAUCCACUUACAACCCAAUCAUAUAAAUAGUAGCUACAUGGAAAGAACGAGUGUUACAAGGAAUCUAUUACGUUCUUAGCUCUGUGGUGGUAGGAAACAAAACUACCACAGGAAUAGAAAAAGACUGUUUCCUGAAAAAAUUUAAAUAAAAUAGGGAUGAGUUUACAACUCAGUGAAUAAUAAUAAAUGGCAUACAUCCCAAACAUUCACACGAGAUGAUUCCUAAAUGCACUAAAAUGAACACUCGAUCAGUCACGCACAUGGCAAACAAUAGCAUCUACAUACAAUAGCACGUUCACAAUAAUCAAGCAAGUGGAGAUUUGUCUGUGGCGUUACCGAAACCCUUGACGAGCCGUACUCACACGUGGCCCGCCCUCUCAUGACCUGUGCAUCAGGGAGCUGAUUCCCAUACAUGACCGAUCGAUGUAAUCCUCACUUGACCAGCCCUCUUAUUGUCUUUCCAUUCUCUUUUUCUUUUGCAUUACCAAACAAGACGCCACCCUGUGGGUUUUCCAUAUCAUCCAUAUCACUAGAUGCACACGGGAGCGCCGAUCUCUCCAUACAUGGCCGACGGUAUCGUAGACCGCACUCACAAACCCAAUGGUGACCCACUUUAUCCCAAUUCCUCACAAACAAAGCAUAUCAAUAGCACAAUACAAAUAAUCAAGCUAUUCAAUACAAAAUGCACCAAAUUAAUAAUUAAAAUACAAACAUGAAGAAAUAACUAUGAUAUUAAUAUAUUAAUAUACUUACAUGUUAAAAAUAAAAUAGUGAUAUAGAAAUUAUUACUAAGUUAAUAUGCAUGCUAAUGAUGGUAUGAACUAUUUAUUAUUACUCACAGUGUUAGAGGAGAAAAGACUCUAGUUCUGAUUUUGAUUCAUAGGAUCAGUAAACGAGCUCGGACGGUCUAUAAGAAGUGAAAUUGAAAAGAGAGAAAAGAGUAAUAAGGAAAUUCUUUAAAUAAGAAUAAGGAAUUAUUCUAAAUAAAUACAGCACUGGUUUUAUUAAAUAUACUAAAUCAAGAUUCUGUCGAAAUUUUGGCAAAACAUCCUCUAAAAAUAUGACUAUCUACCUGAUUAAGCAAUAUCAAAUAUCAAAUAUUCAUUUAUUCAAUUCACACAACCCAUCCGUCGACAAUCAUCUCAGCUAAUAUCAUCCUCCAAUCAAUAUCACCAUUAUUUACAAUCUCUUAUCAUAAAAUAAUAAUUAUAUAAAUUUACAUCAACUUUUUAAACUUAUCUAUUUCAUCUCACAUAUACACAAGCAAACUCAUAUCUUCUGUUACAUUUUAACUAUUCACAUCUUGACAAUUAUCGAAACCUCAUGUCAAAUCUUUAUUUUGUCUUCUAUAUUUGCCAACACUCUAAACUAACCAUUAUGAACCAAUGCCAAAAUUAAGAUUCUGCUGCAAUUUCGACAGAGGUCUCCCCUAAAAAUAGGAUUAGAUGCCUGUAAAACAAGCUACAAAUAUUCAAUAAUUAUCAGUCAAACCCACAUAGCCCGUCCAGCGGGUAACUAAAGUCAUUCAAUUUUCCAUCCAGCUUCUAGCCUCACCAUCAAUGCCCAAUAAUCUUAUUACAAUGCCGAGUAUAUAAUUUAGAAAAUUUUCUUAAGUUCACUCUUCUUCCUCAUACAUUCAUACUUACGUAAUUGUAUUUAUCUUAGCAUUAUUUAUAAUUAAAUAUGUACAUUUAUUCUUAUACACAAGAACAUAAAUGAUUAUCAAGCUCCUAAGCUAACUCUUAAAUCUUUUACUAAAUCAAUUAUAGACUUACAUAUAAGCAAAUUAAACCUCAAGGUUAUAGCUUUACAUAUUUUUUAAGAUCAUUUUUUUUUUUUAUCAAAUAAAUACAACCAAUAAUCACGACUAAAGUAAGAUAACUUGAAAUACACACGUCAAUUCCUAGAUAUUCCAUUAACAACUCACAAAAUCUCCAUGAACCUGCUGUCAUUUCAAAGAAAACUCUCAAACCCUUAUUAACCCGUAGCUCACAUGGUAACUUAUUCAUUUUUCAUCAAACGAUGGACCAUCCUCAUUUACAAUCUUAUUAGUACAAACUUAUUCAUUUUUCAUCAAAUGAUGGACCAUCCUCAUUUACAAUCUUAUUAGUACAAAACUCAUGAAAAACAUAUAGCAUAUUUGCUGCCAUAACCAGAAAACUACAAUAUCACUUCCAAAGCUCGCAUGAAAUAACUUAAUCUAUUCUUUACUCAUUCAUUUCUUAUCAAGUUUUCAAUAUACAACAUAUUUUCUCCUGAUCAUAGCAAAAUAUAAACAAUUAAUCAAGUUAGUUGCUGCCUUUUUCAUGAUUUUUCUCAUUUUCUUACCAAGUUCACCGUAAACACUACUAAGAUUGCUAUCAAAUGAAGUGGAUGAGUUUAUAGCACCAUAAUAAGUUAAACCCAACAAAAUUUAUGAAAUUCUCCUAGCUGGCUGCUGCCAUACACCACAAACCUCAAUCUCAAAUUAAAACUUGUAAGAACUAAAUUAUUCUAACCCUUAUCUUAUAAAAAUUUAUUUGUGGUUGCAAUUGCUGCAUGAUUUGAGUGUUUCUUUAAAAAUUCUCGUAUGAACUGAACCAAAAACUCUAAUUACCUUAAAUUCCACAUUCCCAGUUUCAAAUCUAUAAUUUAGCCAAAAGAAAUCAUAGCACAUGAAGGAGGAAGUCGGAAAUCACCUACCUCACCACAAGAUCACGCUGAAAACUGCAGUUCUCCGAUCGGUGAUUGUCAAUCACAGCUCUCUCAUCUCUCAAUCGUGUAAUAGAGCAAGGUAUGAAAGAAAAUCGAGCUAAGGUUUUGAGGAUAGGUCCAGAAUGGUGUUCGGAUGGCGCGAGAUGACAGCUCUUGGCCGGAAAUGGCAAGAGAGGGGCUUUGGCGGUGGGAAGCGAUCACAGAUCGUGUAGAGAGGAAGAGGUAGGAAGGUUUGGCCCGAUUCAAGCCUUUAUUUUUCAAUAUUAUUGAUUUGGUUCGAUUUAAUGGAUUCAAGUCGGUUUGGAC
rnacentral:lncRNA from 1 species